rnacentral:rRNA from 1 species
CCAAUAGCGUAUAUUAAAGUUGUUGCAGUUAAAAAGCUCGUAGUUGAAUUUCGGGGUCAGUAGGUCGGUCGUGCCACUGGUAUGAACUGGUUUUACUGAUUCCUCCCUCUUGAAGAACUGUAAUGCCAUUAAUUUGGUGUUGCAGGGAAUCAGGACUGUUACUUUGAAAAAAUUAGAGUGUUUAAAGCAGGCUUUAGCUUGAAUACAUUAGCAUGGAAUAAUGAAAUAGGACGUUUGAUCCUAUUUUGUUGGUUUCUAGGAUUGACGUAAUGAUUAAUAGGGAUAGUUGGGGGCAUUAGUAUUCAAUUGUCAGAGGUGAAAUUCUUGGAUUUAUUGAAGAAUAACUACUGCGAAAGCAUUUGCCAAGGAUGUUUUCAUUAAUCAAGAACGAAAGUUAGGGGAUCGAAGACGAUCAGAUACCGUCGUAGUCUUAACCAUAAACUAUGCCGACUAGGGAUCGGAUGAUGUUAAUUUUUUAAUGACUCAUUCGGCGCCUUACG